AAGAGUCUGAGGCUGGAUCUCAGACCAAGCAUGAAACCCUCUGUGCCCGGUCCAUCCUCACUCAGGAUUCACACGUGCCAUCGGGCAUUGGGUAGCUCAUCCAGCCCCGAACCCCCGCCUCCCGCCUCAUCCCGCUUCACCUCACCCCACUGGCCCACCCUGCAAAGUACUGUCUAGAGACGACUCUAACUGCUGGUGCCCAACAAGGCAGAAUAAAGGCCCGUGUGCUCACCGAGUUCCAUUUGGAGUGUGCGACAAUUUCAGAGCACAAAUGGAAAAAGAAAAAAAAGCAGGACCCAUUAAAAUGCUGAAGAAGGAAUAUGAAAAAGGUAUACCACACAACAUGAAGAGACCUGGGGAUCAGGAUCAGUGGACUGUGGGAGAAGGAGGCCUGAAGGUGAUAACGUCCUGUCUGAAGGAGCUAAUGCACACCCGGGGAGCAGCCCAGCUCCGUUCAAUGAAAUAAAACGUCCAGAGCUGUUCUCUUCAUGUUUUAUAUGGCAACACACUUUUAUGUGUGAUUAAGAAACAAAAUAACAAAGGGAGGAAUGUACUGAGCUUAUCAAAGUACAAUAGUUGCUGCUUCACCAGAAAAACCAGUGCUUUCCUUCUAUUCUGGUGCUGUUAAGCUGACCCUGGGGAAUGAAAGACGCUUUGCUCUGAAAUAAAG
rnacentral:lncRNA from 1 species